CUUGUCUUCUUCAUGGACUCGUUCUUCUUCCUUGCGGGAUCUCAGGCAAGAUGACCAUACCCUCGAAAUCACUUCUAUCUUUGCUUGCUAGCCGUUCGCUCUAUUGCUAUGCCGCGUUACCUAUUCACUUGCUCUUCAAGCCUCCCAAAUUGCCAUGAACCUCUAACCUUGUCACCCUUCCUAGCAAACCGUUGUUUGGCUAUGUUACCGCUUUUGCUCAGCCCCUCUUAUAGCAUUGCUAGAUGCAGGUGAAGAUGAAGAUUGCUCCAUGUUGGAUUCUAUUUAUGUUGGGAUAUCACAAUAUCUCUUAUCUUAAUUAAUGCAUCUAUAUAUUUGGUAAAGGGUGGAAGGCUCGGCCUUAUGCCUGGUGUUUUGUUCCACUCUUGCCGCCCUAGUUUCCGUCGUACCGGUGUUAUGUUCCUUGAUUUUGCGUUCCUUACGCGGUUGGGUGAUUUAUGGGACCCCCUUGAUAGUUCGCUUUGAAUAAAACUCCUCCAGCAAGGCCCAACCUUGGUUUUACCAUUUGCCUACCUAAGCCUUUUUCCCUUGGGUUCUGCAGACUCAAGGGUCAUCUUUAUUUUAAACCCCCGGGCCAGUGCUCCUCUGAGUGUUGGUCCAACCCGUCAGUCGCCGGUGGCCACCAGGGGCAACUCUGGGCUGGCCUACCGGAAGCUUGGACAAUCCGGUGUGCCCUGAGAACGAGAUAUGUGCAGCUCCUAUCGGGAUUUGUCGGCACAUUCGGGCGGCUUUGCUGGUCUUGUUUUACCAUUGUCGAAAUGUCUUGUAACCGGGAUUCCGAGACUGAUCGGGUCUUCCCGGGAGAAGGAAUAUCCUUCGUUGACCGUGAGAGCUUAUAAUGGGCUAAGUUGGGACACCCCUGCAGGGUAUAAACUUUCGAGAGCCGUGCCCGCGGUUAUGUGGCAGAUGGGAAUUUGUUAAUGUCCGGUUGUAGAGAACUUGACACUUGACCUUAAUUAAAACGCAUCAACCGCGUGUGUAGCCGUGAUGGUCUCUUCUCGGCGGAGUCCGGGAAGUGAACACGGUUUUUGGGUUAUGUUUGACGUAAGUAGGAGUUCAGGAUCACUUCUUGAUCAUUGCUAGCUUCACGACCGAUCCGUUGCUUCUCUUCUCGCUCUUAUUUGCGUAUGUUUAGCCACCAUAUAUGCUUAGUGCUUGCUGCAGCUCCACCUCACUACACCAUCCUUUCCUAUAAGCUUAUAUAGUCUUGAUCUCGCGGGUGUGAGACUGCUGAGUCCUCGUGACUCACAGAUACUUCCAAACAGUUGCAGGUGCCGAUGAGACCAGUGCAGAUGACGCAACUGAGCUCAAGUGGGAGCUCGAUGAAGAUCCUGUCCGUUGUGUUGUUUCUUUUCUAUUUGAUCAGUAGUGGAGCCCAGUUGGGACGAUCAGGGAUCUAGCAGUUGGGUUGUCUUCUUUUCUUUUGGUUCCGUAGUCGGACCUAUGUGUGUAUCUUGAAUGAUGUAUGAUUUAUUUAUGUAUUGUGUGAAGUGGCGAUUGUAAGCCAACUCUUUAUCCCAUUCUUGUUCAUUACAUGGGAUUGUGUGAAGAUGACCCUUCUUGCGACAAAACCACUAUGCGGUUAUGCCUCUAAGUCGUGCCUCGACACGUGGGAGAUAUAGCCGCAUCGUGGACGUUAC
rnacentral:lncRNA from 1 species